UUAUUUUAAGGGGGUUCGCGGGUCUAAAUCAUUUAUAUAGGAUUUCUCUAUAUUUUUCUAUAAAUGAACUUUAUCUUAUAGUUAAUAGAAAAUUAAAAUAAAAAAGUGGGGUCACCGUUCAUUUGCGCUCACAAUCUGCCUUCGAAAGAAGCAUACAUUUUUGUAAAGGUGGUUGAAGUAAUAGGAGAAAUAUAGGUAAUAUCGAAAUAAAAAAAGAAAUUUAUUACAGAAAUCGCUCAAAUUUUACAAUAAUUUAGGUUAAGUACAGCUUAUAUGGAAAUUAUAUUAAAAAAUAUAU
rnacentral:lncRNA from 1 species